rnacentral:rRNA from 1 species
UACGAAGGGGGCUAGCGUUGUUCGGAAUCACUGGGCGUAAAGGGCGCGUAGGCGGCCGAUUAAGUCGGGGGUGAAAGCCUGUGGCUCAACCACAGAAUUGCCUUCGAUACUGAUUGGCUUGAGACCGGAAGAGGUCAGUGGAACUGCGAGUGUAGAGGUGAAAUUCGUAGAUAUUCGCAAGAACACCAGUGGCGAAGGCGGCUGACUGGUCCGGUUCUGACGCUGAGGCGCGAAAAGCGUGGGGGAGCAAACAGG